AUCGAACGCUGGCGGCAGGCCUAACACAUGCAAGUCGAACGAGUGGCGGACGGGUGAGCAAUGUCUGGGAAACUGCCUGAUGUAGGGGGAUAACUACUGGAAACGGUAGCUAAUACCGCAUACCAUCAGAUGUGGCCAGAUGGGAUUAGCUAGUUGGUGGGGUAACGGCUCACCAAGGCGACGAGCCCUAGCUGGUCUGAGAGGGUGACCAGCCACACUGGGACUGAGACACGGUCCAGACUCCUACGGGAGGCAGCAGUGGGGAAUAUUGCACAAUGGGCGAAAGCCUGAUGGAGCCAUGCCGCGUGAAUGAAGAAGGCCUUCGGGUUGUAAAGUACUGUCGGCGGGGAGGCGUUACCCGCAGAAGAAGCACCGGCUAACUCCGUGCCAGCAGCCGCGGUAAUUC
rnacentral:rRNA from 1 species